CCUACGGGCGCCGCAGUGGGGAAUAUUGGACAAUGGGCGAAAGCCUGAUCCAGCCAUGCCGCGUGUGUGAAGAAGGCCUUCGGGUUGUAAAGCACUUUCAGUGGGGAAGAAAGCCUUGGGGCUAAUACCCUCGAGGAAGGACAUCACCCACAGAAGAAGCACCGGCUAACUCCGUGCCAGCAGCCGCGGUAAUACGGAGGGUGCGAGCGUUAAUCGGAAUUACUGGGCGUAAAGCGCGCGUAGGCGGUCUGAUAAGCCGGUUGUGAAAGCCCCGGGCUCAACCUGGGAACGGCAUCCGGAACUGUCAGGCUAGAGUGCAGGAGAGGAAGGUAGAAUUCCCGGUGUAGCGGUGAAAUGCGUAGAGAUCGGGAGGAAUACCAGUGGCGAAGGCGGCCUACUGGACUGACACUGACGCUGAGGUGCGAAAGCGUGGGUAGCAAACAGGAUUAGAUACCCGGGUAGUC
rnacentral:rRNA from 1 species